rnacentral:lncRNA from 1 species
GAGUGCGGAAAUAAAAUGGAGGGACCAAAAUAGUAAAUAUCUCACCCUCCAAAACACAUCACUACGCGUGGGACUAAAAUGAAACAUAAUUAAAACUAUGCAGGCUAAAUUGAAAUAAAAGAAAAGAAAGAAAAAGGACCCAAUCACAACAUGUUGCAAAAUCGGAAGGACCGCGCACGCAAAUAUCCCAAAAGUUGAAAACACGCGGACCCUCCGGGUCGAAUCAGGUUGGGUUGUGGGUUAGAGCAAAACGACGUCGUUUUGGACGUUCUGGGGCUAGGCCAAAACGGCGGCGUUUCAUGCCCCUAUAAAUUUAAAAAAGAUUAAAAAAAAUUCAUUUCUUCUCUUCUUAAAAAAAAAAAAACUUCAAAAUUCUCUCUCAACCUCCC